GUGGGGAAUAUUGGGCAAUGGGGGAAACCCUGACCCAGCAACGCCGCGUGAGGGAAGAAGGUUUUCGGAUUGUAAACCUCUGUCCUUGGUGACGAAGGAAGUGACGGUAGCCAAGGAGGAAGCCCCGGCUAACUACGUGCCAGCAGCCGCGGUAAUACGUAGGGGGCAAGCGUUGUCCGGAAUGACUGGGCGUAAAGGGCGUGUAGGCGGCCGAUUAAGUCUGGAGUGAAAGUCCUGCUUUCAAGGUGGGAAUUGCUUUGGAGACUGGUUGGCUUGAGUGCGGAAGAGGUAAGUGGAAUUCCCAGUGUAGCGGUGAAAUGCGUAGAGAUUGGGAGGAACACCAGUGGCGAAGGCGACUUACUGGGCCAUAACUGACGCUGAGGCGCGAAAGCGUGGGGAGCGAACAGGAUUAGAAACCCGGGUAGUCC
rnacentral:rRNA from 1 species